rnacentral:rRNA from 8 species
UUAAAUUGAAGAGUUUGAUCAUGGCUCAGAUUGAACGCUGGCGGCAGGCCUAACACAUGCAAGUCGAACGGUAG